rnacentral:rRNA from 1 species
AUGAUAUUACUGCAAGUCGAGCGGAUCUUCUUGAGUUGCCUGCUACUCAAGAAGGUUAGCGGCGGACGGGUGAGUAACACGUAGGCAACCUGCCCAUAAGACCGGGAUAACAUUCGGAAACGAAUGCUAAGACCGGAUACGCAGGACUGGGGCAUCCCGGUUCUGGGAAACACGGUGCAAGCUGUGGCUUAUGGAUGGGCCUGCGGCGCAUUAGCUAGUUGGUGGGGUAACGGCCUACCAAGGCGACGAUGCGUAGCCGACCUGAGAGGGUGAACGGCCACACUGGGACUGAGACACGGCCCAGACUCCUACGGGAGGCAGCAGUAGGGAAUCUUCCACAAUGGGCGCAAGCCUGAUGGAGCAACGCCGCGUGAGUGAGGAAGGCUUUCGGGUCGUAAAGCUCUGUUGCCAGGGAAGAAUAAGGGCCAGUUAACUGCUGGUCCGAUGACGGUACCUGAGAAGAAAGCCCCGGCUAACUACGUGCCAGCAGCCGCGGUAAUACGUAAGGGGCAAGCGUUGUCCGGAAUUAUUGGGCGUAAAGCGCGCGCAGGCGGUCUUUUAAGUCUGGUGUUUAAGUGCGGAGCUCAACCCCGUGACGCACUGGAAACUGGGAGACUUGAGUGCAAAAGAGGAGAGCGGAAUUCCACGUGUAACGGUGAAAUGCGUAGAGAUGUGGAAGAACACCAGUGGCCAAAGCGGCUCUCUGGACCGUAACUGACGCUGAAGCGCGAAAACGUGCCGGAGCAACAGGAUUAGAUACCCUGGUAGUCCACGCCGUAAACGAUGAGUGCUAAGUGUUGGGGGGGGCCCCCCCCUCGGUGCCGAAUUUAACACUUUAAGCCCCCCCCCUGGGGAAAACGGGCCCCCAGACUGAACUUCAAAGGAAUUGACGGGGACCCCCACAAACAGUGGAAUAAGUUGUUUUAAUUCCAAACAACCC